rnacentral:rRNA from 1 species
AGUGAACGCUGGCGGUAGGCCUAACACAUGCAAGUCGAACGGCAGCACGGUAAGAGCUUGCUCUUACGGGUGGCGAGUGGCGGACGGGUGAGGAAUACAUCGGAAUCUACUUUUUCGUGGGGGAUAACGUAGGGAAACUUACGCUAAUACCGCAUACGACCUACGGGUGAAAGCAGGGGAUCUUCGGACCCUGCGCGAUUGAAUGAGCCGAUGUCGGAUUAGCUAGUUGGCGGGGUAAAGGCCCACCAAGGCGACGAUCUGUAGCUGGUCUGAGAGGAUGAUCAGCCACACUGGAACUGAGACACGGUCCAGACUCCUACGGGAGGCAGCAGUGGGGAAUAUUGGACAAUGGGCGCAAGCCUGAUCCAGCCAUACCGCGUGGGUGAAGAAGGCCUUCGGGUUGUAAAGCCCUUUUGUUGGGAAAGAAAAGCAGCAGGUUAAUACCCCGCUGUUCUGACGGUACCCAAAGAAUAAGCACCGGCUAACUUCGUG